rnacentral:rRNA from 1 species
CCUACGGGGGGCAGCAGUGGGGAAUCUUGCACAAUGGGGGAAACCCUGAUGCAGCGACGCCGCGUGAGCGAUGAAGCCCUUCGGGGUGUAAAGCUCUUUCGGCAGGAACGAUAAUGACGGUACCUGCAGAAGAAGCUGCGGCUAACUACGUGCCAGCAGCCGCGGUAAUACGUAGGCAGCAAGCGUUGUUCGGAAUUACUGGGCGGAAAGAGUGUGUAGGUGGUGUCGUCAGUUUGGUGUGAAUUCUCCCGGCUUAACUGAGGGGGUGCGCAGAAGACUGCGAUGGUUGAGUAUGGGAGAGGGAAGGUGGAGUCUAGGUGUAGCGGUGAUCUGCGUAGAUAUCAGGAGGAACACGUGCGGUGUAGAGGGCUUUCUGGACCACUACUGACACGGGGAGCCGAAAGCGUGGGUAGCACACAGGAUUAGAUACCCGUGGAGUC